AACGAACGCUGGCGGCGUGUUUAAGACAUGCAAGUCGCACGGGAUAAGACAUGUAGUAAUACUUGUCUUAUUUAGUGGCGCACGGGUGAGUAACACGUGAAUUACAUGCCCUAUAGUGGGGAAUAGCCCAGGGAAACUUGGAUUAAUACCCCAUGGUAUCGAAAGAUUAAAGGUGGCCGCAAGGCUGUCGCUAUAGGAUUGGUUCGCGCCCUAUCAGCUUGUUGGUGAGGUAACGGCUCACCAAGGCAAUGACGGGUACCUGGUCUGAGAGGACGAUCAGGCACACUGGAACUGAGACACGGUCCAGACACCUACGGGUGGCAGCAGUCGAGAAUAAUUCACAAUGGGGGCAACCCUGAUGGUGCAACGCCGCGUGGAGGAUGACGGUCUUCGGAUUGUAAACUCCUGUCAUCUGGGAGAAAGACCUGACGGUAAAUAGCCGGCAGGGUUGAUAGUACCAGAAGAGGAAGGGACGGCUAACUUCGUGCCAGCAGCCGCAGUAA
rnacentral:rRNA from 1 species